UCCUAAAUCCUUUUUCUGAGGAAAACAAUAUCACUGUCUCUUUGUUCAAACUUCAAAACCCUUCUACUCUCCUUCCCUUAACGUGACGAUGACCGACCGUGACAGAACUCGAUACCAUGACCGUGAAAUUGACCGGGAGAGAGAGCGAGAGAGGGACAAGGAUGGAGACAGAGAUCGGAAACGUGACCGGGAUGACCGUGACCGGAGAGACCGUGAACGUUCUUACACCCCUGACCAUAUCAGAACCAGUCGACACACUCGCUCCCGAACUCGUUCCCCUUCCACUGACCGUCACCGCCACCGCCACCGUUCUACUUCCCGCUCCCGCUCUCCCACUGACCGCCGCAACCGCCACCGUCACCACCGUCCCUCAGCGGAAAGUCCUCCUAGAAAGAGACGAAAAGAUGAUGGCGAUCGAGAUAAGGAUAGGGAUAGAGAUACGCGGAGAGAGGUUGAGGAUUUUGUUGACGGGAUAGCGAAAGAACAGAAGAAGCAGAAGAAGAAGGAGGAGGAGGAGAGUCGUGAUGAAGAGAUGAUGGAUGAUGAAGAGAUUGAGAUGAUGAAGAAAUUGGGGAUACCGGUAGGGUUUGAUUCGACAAAGGGGAAGGCAGUGGCAGGGAAUGAUGUGGGUGCUGUAAGGAAAGUCACUAAACGGCAGCCUCGACAGUACAUGAAUAGGCGUGGUGGCUUCAAUAGGCCCUUGCCUGCUGAGUGCAACCGCUAAUUUUCCCAGGUUGAGAUUGAGAUAUGUAAAUUCAUCGAUAGUCAAGAAUCUCAAUCGUGUUUAAGAUUUGAACUAAAUUUCACAAUGGUGGAUGCUUGUCAGUCAUUCAUAUUUUCCUAUUAUUCAAUGGGUUAUUGCAAAAUAUUCCAGAAUCCAUGGUGUAGCAUUUACUGUUUAGUGAUGGACGCAUAGAAGUCCGAGGUAAGUAGAAAAAUUGUAUAAUCUUCACCUAGUGGAGAAAAAUGUAAACCAAUAAGAAAGAGAUACAGAAAAAAGAAAUUUUAGUCUUAUGUAGAGCUUUGGGUGUCAGGUUGAUACAGCACUCUUAUAUUUUCUUGAGCUUUGGCAUUCCGUGAUGCUUAGUGCUACUAUGGCCUUCUUAACAUGGCCCGAAAUUGGCAAAGUUUGGUUGGGGGCAGGGGAGGAGUAUCUUUAAUGUGCCAGUGGCAAGCUAUACCUUAGAGACCAUCCCGCUGCAGUUGCUGGAAAAGCACUGAAUAAGUUUGAUGGAAAUGCACUUUCUGCCAGGCUUCUUAUGUGAGUGUGCCUCUUAGUCCAAGUAAUGGAGACAAUAUAUCCUUUCAAUUGUAUGUUUAGGUCAUAAUGUGCUAUUUUUCUCAAAACUUCAUGGUAAUAGGACUUCUGCGGUGGAGAAUAGGUUCACAGUUUGCUGCAGCCUGCAGUCAAGCAGUAACAGAUGCGACCAUUACUUCAGGGUCCUGCCAAAUGGUUUGCUGGUUAAUGGUGCCCCCUCCCUCCCUUUAAAGCAGUCAUCCUUUAACACUGUCUGUUAUCUCAUUGAGAUUACUGAUGCAAACAUGCAUUUGGGCUAUUGCUUCUUGUCUUAGGUACAGAUUUCUCCCUAAUGAUAGGCAUUUCUUCAUAAAUCAACUUACAUUUGGAUUUGACUAUAGUGUUGCUCACUAUGCACUUUGGUGUGUGCACUAAAGUCUAGGAUUGAUCUCUUUACCUUGUAUUGAUAUUGUAAUCUUGGCCAUUGGUAUGAACUCUGUCAUUUACUUUUUUAAUGUUGUAGAAUCUGACCCAGCUUUGGGGCAUAAGCUAUUUAACUCAGGUUGGAGUGAUCUGAAGGAUAUCUGAUGGUUCCUUACAGUAUGAAAAUGGUUAUAACGGACAAUGAGUUUUCUCAGAGUUUUCUUACAGGAUUGAUGCUUUUUAGUCAUUGAGAAGGAAAGAAGAUAACGGAAGUGGGAAAAUGGUUCCUCUUUUUCUGGUAGUUCUAUUUUUUUCCAAAAUAUUUUGGGCGUGGGGCUAGUGGGGUCAUUUGAUUUUCUAUGUAUGCCAUAAUGUAGUUUUUAGAAUCAAGGAUGAUAUAACUUGAAUAAGUUGUGUAGAUGGAUAGCUUGGAGCUAAGUUGAGUUACCUCUUGUUUUAUUUUUAA